rnacentral:rRNA from 1 species
GUCCAAGCUACUAAGGGCACACGGUGGAUGCCUUGGCGCCAAGGGCCGAUGAAGGACGCUGUUGGCGGCGAAAGGGUCGGGGAGGUGCUAAGCAACCUUCGAUCCGACCGUCUCCGAAUGGGGCAACCCCGCGCGGGUCAUGCCGCGCGAUCCCGGGCUGAAUCCAUAGGCACGGGAGGGCAAGCCGGGGAACUGAAACAUCUCAGUACCCGGAGGAGGAGAAAUCAACCGAGAUUCCCCGAGUAGUGGCGAGCGAAAGGGGAAGAGCCCAAACCCCGGGUGCGUGAUAGCUUGCGGGCGUUGCACUCGGGGGGUUGUAGGGCGCCGUCGGGCCGGACCGCAAUCCGGCCGGGAAGUUACCAAUCGUCGGGUUAGCCGAACGGUCCUGGAACGGUCGGCCACAGCGGGUGAGAGCCCCGUAGGCGAAAGCCCGACGACUUCCUCGGCGGUGUCCCUGAGUACCACGGGACACGUGGAACCCCGUGGGAACCCGGGAGGACCACCUUCCAAGGCUAAAUACCCUUGGCGACCGAUAGCGCACGAGUACCGUGAGGGAAAGGUGAAAAGAACCCCGGGAGGGGAGUGAAAUAGAACCUGAAACCGUGUGCCUACAAGCAGUCGGAGGGCUAUGCUGGGUCUCCGGACCCGGAACGCCUGACGGCAUGCCUAUUGAAGAAUGAGCCGGCGAGUUGCGGCAUGUGGCGAGCUUAAGGGAGCGAAUCCUGGAGGCGCAGGGAAACCGAGUCUGAAGAGGGCGCCGUCCCCGGAUGGGGAGCCCGCGCAAGCGGGCAGUCGCAUGUUGCAGACCCGAAACCGGGUGAUCUACCCAUGACCAGGGUGAAGCGCGGCUAAUCCCGCGUGGAGGCCCGAACCCGCUGGUGUUGAAAAACCAUGGGAUGAGUUGUGGGUAGGGGUGAAAUGCCAAUCGAACCCGGAGAUAGCUGGUUCUCCCCGAAAUGCAUUGAGGUGCAGCCCUGAUCGCAGCGAUACGGUGGUAGAGCACUGGAUGGGCUAGGGCGGGAGGACCCGUGCCGAACCCAACCAAACUCCGAAUGCCGUGUCGUGGUCGUCAGGAGUGAGACGGCGGGGGAUAAGCUUCGUCGUCAAAAGGGAAACAACCCAGACCGCCAGCUAAGGUCCCCGAGUGAUGGCUAAGUGGGAAAGGAAGUGGCAUCGCUAAGACAGCCAGGAGGUUGGCUCAGAAGCAGCCAUCCUUCAAA